rnacentral:rRNA from 1 species
CUGCUGCCUUCCGUAGGAGUCUGGGCCGUGUCUCAGUCCCAGUGUGGGGGGCCUUCCUCUCAGAACCCCUACGCAUCGUCGCCACGGUGGGCCGUCACCCCGCCGUCUAGCUAAUGCGCCGCAUGCCCAUCCGCCACCGGAUCGCUCCUUUGGCCACCGGAGGAUGCCCUCCGGUGGCGUCACGGGGUAUUAAGCCGCGUUUCCGCGGGUUAUCCCCCUGUGGCGGCCAGGUUGCAUACGUGUUACUCACCCGUGCGCCGGUCGCCGGCGGG